GCGGGGUGGAGCAGCUCGGUAGCUCGCUGGGCUCAUAACCCAGAGGUCGCAGGUUCAAAUCCUGUCCCCGC
rnacentral:tRNA from 1 species